AGUCUGAAAGUUUUACUUAAAAGAUAAUUUUUAAAAAUUAAAUAUGUGUGCAUGUGUGUGUGUGUGCACAUGCACACACCUAAGGAGGCCACAGAACACAGGACACCCCAGGGGAUUUCCUGCUGGGGCUACAUGCAGUUCUAAGGUGUCAGAUGUGGGAACUGAACUCAAGUACCACAAGUAGCAAGAGUAACACACAGUGCUGUUAACCAGCUGAGCUGUCUCCAGCCCCUACAAAUACAUUGCCUUGUGGGUCCGGAGGCCAGAACGCUGAUGACAGUGACAGGCUGAAGUCAAGGUCGUGGUCCUGCCAUGCACAGUUCUGAUCUCCAGUGUUCCUGACGUCUGGGCAGCGUGGAGAGCUGAGUUCCAGAUGUCUAGGUGUUCAGCUUUGAAAGGAUCUGCCCCAUCUCAUCCUUACACUACAAGCUGGCCUAAGACAGAAGGGAUUGCAGAAUGUUGUGAAGAGAUGGUUCACCAUCACCAAUGGGCUAAGGAGGAGCAGGAGGAGUGAAGCCCAGACCACGCCUGAUGAAGACUCUAAGGCCAUGCAGGUGAGCUGCACCCCUCAGCCCAGCUCCAUCUCAGUGACACUUUCUUGGUAACAGCGUGAGGGUCCCUGAUGCUGUUUCCAGUGCAAAUUAGAAGCCAGGCUUGGGCAUCUUCCCUGACAUACAGGUCAUGUUCACUGUGUACUGGGGUUCUGGAGACUGAGAUACCGUCUGCCGUCCAUGCCAGUGCCCCAUAGUCACUGGCCCUGUCUGUGCCCACAUGUGUGCCACAGAUGCAGUGCCCUAACUGUCCCCACCCAUUCCCGACACCAGCUGCUCUGUACCCUCCCACUCACUCUCACACGCCCCCACAGGUCCCCAGGGAGUCACCAGUCCGCUGCCAGUAACUGGGGGAGGACCUGAGAUGGUGCCUGGAGGAAGGUGCUGGAAACUUUAGUCAAGCAGGGACUGUUAACAGCUGUUGCAGAGAACCCUUAAAACACAAACGAAUCUCAGAAAGGAAAUACUUGUAAAACCUGCUGU